UGACCACCCAGCAGAGUGACUGUGCCAGAG
rnacentral:piRNA from 1 species